rfam:Streptococcus sanguinis SK36, complete genome.
GGGGUCGUUACGGAUUCGACAGGCAUUAUGAGGCACAUUUUGCGACUCAUCUAGCGGAUGUAAAACGCCAGUUAAAUAUAACUGCAAAAAAUAACAAUUCUUACGCUUUAGCUGCCUAAAAACCAGCCAGCGUGACCCGAUUCGGAUUGCUUGUGUCUGAUGACAGGUCUUAUUAUGAGCAAGCUACGGCAAAGUCUAGUCUAGGGAUUUUGCAAGAGAUUGAUAGACUCGCUUGACUUGGGCUUGAGCUAUGUGUCAAAGUGAAGUUAAACCAAUACAUAGCCUAUGGUUGUAGACAAAUGUGUUAGCAGGUGUUUGGACGUGGGUUCGACUCCCACCGGCUCCAUUA